AUCUGAAAAUUUUAUUUAACCGUCACAACCGUUCAGAAUAGUUACAUCAUGGCUUUGAACUAUGAUUGCACACAGCUGUGUAGUCCAUUGAAAAAACUACAAAAACAGGGAAAAGGAAAAAUCUGAAGAGUAGAGGAGCUUUGUUCACUAAACUGAGCUGGUUUGUAGCAAGCUCCAACCCAGUAUGGAGACAAUGUCCUCAUGCUUUCUGGUAGACUCUCUUACACUUGCAACCAUUCAUGUCACAUUCCACCACCAGUUUCCCAUCCUCUAUCUUCCGUGUUAUUGUGGACUCCUUGCCAUCCCACUGCUGGAGCUGAAUCAAUGUUGCACCUUCAAAGGUUAUGAGUGUCUGAACUUUCC